UACGUAGGGUGCAAGCGUUGUCCGGAAUUAUUGGGCGUAAAGAGCUUGUAGGCGGUUUGUCGCGUCUGCUGUGAAAUUUCGGGGCUCAACCCCGAACUUGCAGUGGAUACGGGCAGACUAGAGUGCGGUAGGGGAGACUGGAAUUCCUGGUGUAGCGGUGGAAUGCGCAGAUAUCAGGAGGAGCACCGGUGGCGAAGGCGGGUCUCUGGGCAACAACUGACGCUGAGGAGCGAAAGCGUGGGGAGCGAACAGG
rnacentral:rRNA from 1 species